AUGGCUGGCGCGGGGGUGCGGGGAGUUCCGGGCCGCACAAUGGCCGCGCGCGGGGACAUAUGUCCCCAAUUAGGGCCCGGCGCCGCCAUUGUCCCCUCACGCACCCCCGCCCGUGGCUCGGGUCUCCCUGCUCCGAGCGCGCCCCCACGCGGCCCGCUGUCUCUGGGGACCAAGGUCGCAGGGGCGGCCCCGGGAGUGUGCGGGCGCGCCCCAGCCGGGAGCGCGUGCGAGGCGGGGGUGCGCGUACCCGUCGCGGCGAGCGGUGACCUUGUGCGGGGCUGCUGGUCGGGCCCGCGGACCCGGCCGGGCGCGCGGCGGGAGGGCCGCUCUGGAGGCGCGCUUUCGGCGGCUCCCCGCCCUCCGCGGAUCUCUCGGCUUUACCUAGCGUCGCAACAGAGGAGCCGAGCGAGCGUGGCUGUAAGCGAACCGGCCCGGCGCGGGGCGCGGCAGGGACCGCAGGCCCGCUUUGUGACGGCGGCGGGAUAUUCAUCUUGCGUGGCUGGUGCUCCCGAGGGGCGGGGGCGGGACGCGGCCGCCCCCUUAUCGCGGAGCCGCAGCCGGCGGGACCGCAGUGGGGGUGGGGGCAGGGAUCCCCCUCGGCCGAGCGGUUCAUCUUUGCCCCUUCCCGGGGGUCCCAGCGGAGGCGCAGCCGGAGGCGCGGGGCCAAUUAGCAUUUUGAUUGCGGGACUGGGGGCCCAUCUGGACCGAGGCCUAAUUACCGGGCGAACCCUCGGGGCGCCAGCGGGACGUGCCAGGCGCAGUCCCUUCAGCCGGAGCUCCCCACCUCCCGCAAAGUCCGCCCCAACACUGCAGUCGGACCGCGUCCCUGUCCCCCUCCGUUGGUCCCAUCGCCCGGUCGUCUGUCAUGCGCUUUUGUUCCUCCACCUCGUCCUCUUUCACUCCCCUGGCCCACCCUUUGGCCCCACUCCGCCACCUCUUUCCUCAGUCCCAUUCCUCCAUCGCCCUCCACUUUUCCCUCAUUUCUGUCUUCCUUCAGCCAACUUCUCUGUUUCUCCUUCCCCGGCUCCUGGUUGCCAGUUCCUGCCUCUCUGUCAAUUUCCCAUCCCCUGGCUCCCAACGCUCUUAAUGACAGGGCGGUGUCAGAGCACCGACACAUGUGUCCCCCGGCCAGGCGCUCCCAAGGGGAUCGUCUGGGCCGCCCUUGCUUGCCCUCUUGUGGGUAGAGCCUGCAGCCCCUGGGGCGUCCAGCAGGGAGGGGCAGCUGGGCCUAGGCCCUGGCCAUCAGUCCAGAACGGCCGUGGUGUGGAGCACACAUGGGGCCCGUGA
rnacentral:lncRNA from 1 species